CCUACGGGGGGCAGCAGUGGGGAAUAUUGCACAAUGGGGGAAACCCUGAUGCAGCGACGCCGCGUGAGUGAAGAAGUAAUUCGUUACGUAAAGCUCUGUCAGCAGGGAAGAAAGCAAUGACGGUACCUGACCAAGAAGCCCCGGCUAACUACGUGCCAGCAGCCGCGGUAAUACGUAGGGGGCAAGCGUUAUCCGGAAUUACUGGGUGUAAAGGGAGCGUAGACGGCUGUGCAAGUCUGGAGGGAAAGGCGGGGGCCCAACCCCCGGACUGCUCUGGAAACUGUAUGGCUGGAGUGCAGGAGAGGUAAGCGGAAUUCCUAGUGUAGCGGUGAAAUGCGUAGAUAUUAGGAGGAACACCAGUGGCGAAGGCGGCUUACUGGACUGUAACUGACGUUGAGGCUCGAAAGCGUGGGGAGCAAACAGGAUUAGAUACCCCUGUAGUC
rnacentral:rRNA from 1 species